CCUGUUAAGUCAGGCAACGAGCGAGACCCACGCCAACAGUUGCUAGCUCGUCCUCCCGGGGAAUGGAGAGGACACUGUUGGGACCGCCUCUGCUAAAGAGGAGGAAGGAAUGGGCAACGGUAGGUCAGCAUGCCCCGAAUUAUCUGGGCUACACGCGGGCUACAAUGGGUGGGACAAUGGGUAUCGACACCGAAAGGUGAAGGCAAUCUCCUAAACCCAUCCUUAGUUCGGAUUGUGGGCUGCAACUCGCCCACAUGAAGCUGGAAUCUGUAGUAAUCGUGUUUCAAAAUAGCGCGGUGAAUAUGUCCCUGCUCCUU
rnacentral:rRNA from 1 species